GGUUAAACCUACCUUCCUGCAUCUUCUUCCUACACAGCCUCAGCCUCCUCAUGAUCUGAAACCAGGAGAUUUCAUGUAUUAGAAGAGACAUCAGAGAAAACCUACUCUUGAACUUCAUUGGAAAGGACCUCAUCAGCCCCAUCUGGAAUUCUAGAAAGAGACAGCCUCACUUGGAUCCCAUCUGGCAACACAGAGCAGCUGCUGUCAAAUAGAAAUGGAGUUGUGGCAGACUGAAGGUGCUGACAAUACAAAUCCUGAUUCUAAGUGACUUGGCCAGAUUCCUAUCUGCAGAUCACCAGGAUUUUCUGGUUUCUGUCAGCAAGACCUGCUGUCCCAAUUCCAGAACCUCGUGUCUGCUUCACGGUCAAGCUCCCUGGAGGAAGAGCAGAGGUGUGGAAGAGGCAGAUCUAUAAAGAAGUUCUAAGCAUGAGGCUGUCAGUAGGAGUGAAAAGAAGGUGCUCUGCUUUUUGCCCUUGCUCCUGACAGAUGCUGCAGCCCACACCCAGGUCCAGCCAUCCUCUGUGGAACUCAGGUCACCUCUGAGAGUAAGAACUGUGGUCUCCGAGUCCUCUCUGCCCACAUCUUCUGCCCCUGCACAGCGCCCCCUGGAAUCUGGCCAGACUCCUCCCCUGGGUUUUAUCUGUGAUUCUGCCUUCCCCCUUUGGAUGGAGACGAAGGUGUUCCCACAAGUUCCUCUGCUGGAGUGCCCAGUGCCAGGCUAAGGUAUGAGGAAUGAGAAUGCAUUUUGUUAAAGGGGACGAUGUCCUUGAGCUGGUUGUUUCUGAAUGGAAAGUGCAGGCCAGAUUAAUAUGGACCCAGAAAAUUGUGGAAGGUUUGUGGCGGAAGAACACUGAGCUUUGCGCAUGUUCAGGACUGGCUGAGAUAGGGUUGAAUUUCAUUAAGAAAAUGAAUGUGAAAGGUAAAGUGGUUUAGAACCUGAUCUGGUUCUCUAAGAGAAGUUUUCUUAAAAUACUGAACUGUUUUUGGUAAUUGUGAAUUUCUUUAAGUGAUCUCUUUGCCAGUGAGAUCUUUUAUUACCACUGGUUAAAGGUUUUUUAUAUUUUGAUAAACUUCCCCUCCUGGGGUUCCUGUUACAUCCAGAUCUGGGAUCCUCAGCCCCUCAGCUAAUUGGAGGCCCUUUUCCUUAUUUUUUUUCCUGCUGGGCACACUGGCCUCACCAGGGCAGCCGCUCCAACAAACACACAUACACACAUUUAGACAAACACAUGCACACUCCCUCCCAAAGGCCUGUGGGUGAGCAGAGGGCAACCAGAGACAGUAGAUGCCUCCUCCAGUGUGGGGGCCUCCGAUCUCCAGCCUGGACUUUCUGCUUCCUUGAGUGUGGAGUCCAACCAGAGAACCAGGCAAGGGAAAGAACGAGCUGAGGGGUGCAGGCCAGGCUCUGGAAGGACAGGAGGGAAGUUCUAGGGUCAGUUUAUAAUCAUGAAGCUCUCCCCUCUAUCCCUUUUCUCCUGGAUAUAGAACAUGAAAAACUCAGCCUUUUGCAGCGGUCAUUGGGGGUUCCCAUGUGGACAGAGGGGCUGUCCCCCAAAUCCCAUUGCAGGGACUGGACUGGAGAGGGUGGCGUUGCUGCCAACAUACUGAUUCAACACGAAUUCCAGAAAGUAGAUGUGGACUAAAGAAGCUGGCCCAUAUUGCUCGCAAGUCAUUGCCAGGAAGAAAACCUAAGUUUUAAAAGGGCAAUAAAAAAACCUCUUUAAAACAUAAUAAAUCCAGGCAGAGCAGAAAGGGCCUGAAGUUCCCAAAUCCCUGUGGGUCCUACCUCAGCCCGCCUGAGAGUCUGCCCAUCUGGGCCUGAGAGCUUGCGCAGUUGGCAGGAGAGGUUCACUGGGGCGAGGCAGGCAGCGUGCCUGCUUACAGAGCCCAGCACCGGGGAAGCAAGCUGGCUGCGCCCGCCCUGGAGGGCUGGGCCACUCGAGUUUGACCUUGCUUCUGACCCACAUACUAGGUCCAUCUGAAAGGCUGAGUUAGACACCCCUCACCCUCCCAGGAAGUGAACCCUGCCCCCAGCAGCCGUUUCCAAAUGAUACCAGGGACCCUCCCACUCUCUGCUUAGGGUCCCCAGAAACAGUAGGGCCGAGGGGAGGUCUGAAAAGCAGUGGAGCGUUUUCACGGGCGGGUGGGACUCGAGGUCAGAGAAGAGUGCCCAUGGAGGCCCUGCGUCUCAGCUGCGUCCCCACAGUGAGCUGAAGACAAAGGAAAAAACGAGGGAGGGUUGAAUCGUAUACUUUCUAAACAGUGGAGUAGAGAGGCUUAGGCCUCUAUUCAUUAAGUACUUAAAAAAAUAAAUCUUUCCGUUUUAUCACUUUAAAUUAUACCAAUAACUUUACAUUUGCCUUAAAAAAAAAAAAAAAGCAAAACUCCAAGUUCUCUUUAAUACCACUCCAA